rnacentral:snoRNA from 1 species
UCCUCCUGCAAAGGCGUGUUUUGGGCUCCUUGUUCUUGGACAUGUAAGAAUCAGAGGCAGAAAAAUGUGGAUUUGCAAAGUCUGAGACCGGCUUGCUCCGUUCAAGCUCUGGAUCAUCCAUCCUACAGAG